GAGGCCAGUGAUUCUGAGCGUGCGGGUGGGCGUGUUUGCGGACCAGCUGCAGCCGCCGCGGAGCGGCUUAAUGGCGACUGCCUGAGUUGUGAGGAGUCAGGUCGCUCUCCCCGGGCAGCAACGGCCGCGCUCCUGCGGGGGAGAGCGCCGCCGUCAGCAGUACAACCUGUGGAAGAGAGAUGCUGCAUAGCUGAAACCAGAGAUCACAAGUAGGAAGAAAGGCAGGCAGUGGCGGG